rnacentral:misc_RNA from 1 species
GCAGAGUGAGCCCAUAUUUUGUAUUACAAUAGGCAGCAUAGACAAGGCAGUGAUCAGGCUUGACUAGGUGUCAAAAAAUUCUUUGAUUCCUUUCUAUAAAGAUCACUCAUUAUGUGGUCAACUUAACCUGAACAAGAUGCCACAAACCUGGUUGGAAAGNNNNNNNNNNAGCUUAGGUACUGAUUUGGGUGAAUAGUUUAGUAGCAAUAGCAAAGAGGACAGCAAUUGGCUGGUCCUUACGCCGUGGGGGUUGUAAGAAACUAAGAAUAGA